rnacentral:sRNA from 1 species
AGCUUUGGGGAAUAUCGCCACACACGUAUCGACACAGUUUCCAGGGUGCCGCUCGCGGUUGGAUGCUGGGAUACGUGGAGGUUUAAC